GAUGAACGCUGGCGGCGUGCCUAACACAUGCAAGUCGAGCGAUUUACUUCGGUAAAGAGCGGCGGACGGGUGAGUAACGCGUGGGUAACCUGCCCUUUGCAGGGGGAUAACAGUGAGAAAUCGCUGCUAAUACCGCAUACCAACUUCUUUCGCAUGAAGGAAGUUUGAAAGAUUUAUCGGCAAAGGAUGGACCCGCGUUGGAUUAGCUAGUUGGUGAGAUAACAGCCCACCAAGGCAACGAUCCAUAGCCGGCCUGAGAGGGUGAACGGCCACACUGGGACUGAGACACGGCCCAGACUCCUACGGGAGGCAGCAGUAGGGAAUAUUGGGCAAUGGGCGGAAGCCUGACCCAGCCAUGCCGCGUGAAGGAAGACGGCCUUAUGGGUUGUAAACUUCUUUACUAUGCGACUAACUAGAUUUACGAGAUAAUUCUAUAGAAUGUAGCAUAGCAAAAAGCACCGGCUAACUCCGUG
rnacentral:rRNA from 1 species